AAAAUCAUAUGAAUAUUUAAAGUUAAUAUGUAUCUCUUUUAUUUAGAUCGGAGGAAAAAGCCAUCUUUGAUGGCGUGUUCAUCGCAAAUGAUGAUGAUGUCGCAAGAUUCGUGGACUAUGUCCAUACCUCAACCAGUCAUGUAAACUUGCACAACUUCUCUAUAUUUACCUAUAAAAACACCACGUCCUACAGAGGACUUAGUUUGAACAAGUUUGGAAUGUUAAACAUCUUCCAUGUUUUAGGUCUCUGGAAGAGGUGUCUGUGGAGGGCAAUGGUCAGCGGCGCGUGAAACUUCUCAGAAGUCCUCAGGAAAAACAGACGAGGAGGGCCUGGAACUCGCUGUAUGUCGUCAUGGGGUUCUCCUUCGUGCCCUCACUAUGUUCAGGGGGAGAUUUUUUUGCCUACCCCCUGUACCUCCAAAAGCAAAUGGCCUGUAAGCCAGUUAAAUUUUUUGCAAUGGAUGUGGCAUGCAAGUACUGGCCUUACCUCCAGAGAGUGACAGAGAAAUGCCCUGAGCUUGAGGAUCUCCUCACCAUGAGGCCAUUUCUUUCUGUUUUUCAUGCCAAAGCUCAUGAUUUCAAAUGUGAGGUAAGAAAAAAUGAUUGUCCAUGAUAUUUUCUUUCCCUAAAAUCCUGCAUAAGAUUGUUGCCACUUAGGUUUUGUUUUUUUGUUUUCUUUUUUAAAGGUAAAAUGGAGUGGAGCAUAUCAGGAGGGGGCUGGUUCGACUCUUGGGGAAGAGGUGGAGCAGUGCAACGCCUUCCUCUCGAGGAUUGCUGUUACGACAAAGCACAUGUCAAAAGCAGGACGCAUAGACAUGCUGACGAUCAUGGCCAUGCGCUGGAACCAACAAAAAGUUUGACAACUUGGCUUCUACCCUUGCCCGCCGAUAUCGGAAGGCCACAAUAGCCCUGCAAUGCCAGUUGCAUAACCUGGAGGCCAUGAAAACGGAAAUGGACGUCUCAGACAAUCAACUGGAGAGGUGGAUCAUUGAUAUCAAUGAGUGGGCAGAAGCAACAACAUCCCCAAAUGAUGCUGAUGUUGCCGCUGUUGCCAGCCGAAUUGAGGAGCUGGUGGCAAGUGUUAAGAGGAGGUCCCAGCGUCUUUACAAGGAUAGUGACGGAUGCAAAGGACGUGCCCGAAUCCGCCGAAAGAUCAGGGAGGAAAAAAAAAUCUUAAAUUCUGUAGUGGAAAAGUACAACACCUUGGUUCCUAAUGCAGAAAAAAACUGUCAUUGGACACCAUUCUAUCUGACGAGAUUGUUUGGCCAUGGCAGCUUACACACGGUGGUAUGUACACAAUUCCAUUGUCACAUAGUGGGACAAAAAUCUGUCAUGCCUCGAUUUUACACCUGAAAAUCUCUAAAUACUAAUCUCAAAUACAACCGACUUAUGUUUCAUCUAUGUAUUCCAGACUCUGUUGAUCUAAGGACAAAGAGGAAGGCGUUCGACAUUGUGAUGGCAGUAAGGAGACUUGAGGAGGAGAAGAGGAUUCUUAUUGCAGAGAUGAACAAGCAUUGGAAGUCUCUUUGCUCCCGUGCAGACACCCUGAAGCAGAUGUCAUCCAAGCUUUCUAAUGUGACAUCAGGUAUGUAUUUGUUAUACUUGGCAUACAUUACAAUAUUUCUGAAUGUUUUUAAUUAAUAAAGGCUCAAUAUGUUUUAACAUGUAAGGUGAGACUUGGGGCCUGCUUCAAGAUGGUAUCCGAGGUCUACAAAGCUUGACGAUGAAGAACAAGCGAGCAAGCAACAGCCUGGCAAAGCAUGCAAAGAAAUAUUAUGUUCAAGUUCUGACUGAAACAGAAAUUAACUUUGAUAGUGAUUCUGAGGAAUACCAUACCAGUAGUGACUCUGAGCAAGAUUAAACAUGGCCAGAGUCCUUUUUAUGCUGUUGUGUGCUGGGGAGGCAGCAUUAAAGAAGAGGGCCGCUGGGACAGGUUGUUAAGGAAAGCUGGCUCUGUGUUUGGCAUGGAGCUGGAGUUAAUUAUUUAACAAACUGAGGAUAAUUUGCAGUAGCAGUCUUCUGUCAUGCUCAACAUUGAGGAGGUCCUUUGUCCCCAGGGCAUACCAGCAACUCAAUGUCACAGAAAAGGUUAGGGGAGAAAUUGACUUUUCAGCAUGAGUCUCACCCUGCGCCAACCAUUACAUCGCUUUGUCUAUUGUCUAGUAUCCACUAUCCAUUUGACUGUCUUACAGGCUACAUUAGCCCCUCUACACAUUCUGAACUGUGGUUUCAACAUUUACCCCUGUUGGCUUGUAUAAUCUUUUUUUUCUUUUUUUAUAUAUAUUUAAGUUUCUGUUUUUUUCUAUCUAUUUUAACUUCUUUGUAUUGUUUUUUUGUUAAGCAAUACUAUUAUGCUCAGACUCUUUUUUUUCCAUAGUCAUAUUAAACAUGCACAGCUUUGCACUGAUUAAAUCCCUGCACUGUUUACUUUUGCACUACCACCACUGCAAAUCACUCUAUAGUUGCCCAUCAUGUAUCACAGGGUCAGUCCCUACCAGGCCUUUGUAAUCACUUGACAUGCUCUUCACUUUUUUUACAUUUGUGAUUUUUUUGUUAUGUGUCUGAGUUGUGUGUUGUUUUUGUGGUUGUAUAAGCUAAUAAAUGCCUAAAAUGUGGUGUGUCGUCUUAAGUAGCCUACUGUGUCUGUACUAGGGGGAAGAAGACAUUUCAUCAUGACAGUUUCCUCCAUCUCCUAGAGACAUCUUACAUGGAUACACAGA
ensembl:lncRNA